UGAGAAUGCAUAAGGAUGAAUAGAUUACUAAUGGGCAGGCCGGUGAAUUAUGGAUGGAUGGAGGAGAAAUGGAUGGCCAGCCAGAUGGUUAGAUAGAUCAAAAACAGGACAAAAAAUAAAUGGGCAGGUAGACAAAGACAGACAUGUAGUCAAACCUAGUAUUGUACAUAUAUGGCUAGUUAGACCAAUUUAAAAAGCAAAAGGGAGAAAUGGGUACAUGAAUGGAUGGAUACAUUGAUGGGCAGAGAGAUAAACAGAUGAACUAGGGAGAUGAGAGUUGGAAAGAUAACUAAGAGAUUCCGAUGUUUAUGUUUAUCACACGUUAGAUCUUAUUUUCAUGGACUAUGUAAUUUUCUUAGUGUUACUUCUUGUCUUGGAAAAACUAUCUCCCUCUCUCCUUUUCCCCAUUGUCUCCUCCUCAGUGCUCCUUACCUGCUUCUGUCUCUAAGUGUUCCCAUACCCAUGGCUCACACUGUGUCUCCAUGAUAAGGUGUGAUAUUUGUGUGACAGGGACUGCCUGAGCAGGGCCUGCAUUUGAAAUGGAGAGGAGCCUGGGAACCAUAAGACAGAGAACUUCUGUCCACCUCUACUUUGAGUGACUCCAGGCCGUCUUUCCCCAAAAUUCAACAACUAAGUCCUGUCCUGGGAUUCUUCUCCUGACCACCCCUCCUUGUUUUCUUCCUGUCAAGAUUCCAAGAACACGGGACUAGACUUGGAAGUAAAUCAUUCUCAGAUCUGUUCACCUUCCAGGGCAGAAAUCAGACACUGGCUUUUGUUCUAACAUGGCGUGGAAGUGGAAGCAGAUAUAGACG
rnacentral:lncRNA from 1 species